UCUCUCUGCGCCCACGGCUUCUCUCCGACCGUUAGAGAGAGAGGACAAUUUACUCGGAAACCCUGCCUCUGCAUUCUCUCGCCUCUGCCUCGCCUUCUCUCUCCCAAGAAAAACCCAACCCCCCUCCUCCCUUCCUCUCUCACCGGUCUCCUCUCGCCCCAUGAAACCCUUGAUCUCUCUCCUAUCUAUAAUGGCGAUGAUGGUGAGAAUAUGAUGAUGUGAUCUAGUCUGUUAGUCUGCAUUUUCAUGGCAUCCAAACCCCGACAACAACCACCAGAUGCCUUUGAUCUCAUUCUAGCUGAUGCUUGGAACUUUGUUGUUUCAUUUGAGAGCUAACAACAUCUACUACAACAAUGCUAAAGAGAAGCUCUUCAAAAAUCAAUUUGUUUUUGGCACCUCCAACGCCAACGGUUAUGAAGUGAAGCACAUUUUGAGAACUGCAACAACAUCUACAACAACAAUGCUAAAGAGAAGCUCUUGAAAAAUCAAAUUGUUUUUGGCACCUCCAACUCCAAUGGUUGCGAAGUGAAGCACAGAUAUUCAUACUUCAAUUGAAACUUUUAAGAUUAACCUGC